rnacentral:lncRNA from 1 species
UGUAUUUCUCUCUCUUCAGGCUAAUGUGGGCACGCUCUUCACAUAUACGCUACUCAUAAACCAUCUUUCAUGUUUUCCGGUGCGUUUGAAAUAUGUUUGACGACGUGCACUGUAUAACCCCUCUGGGAGCUGAGUCACUUCUCAUGUCUAUUUCUGUGCAUUUUCAUGCACGUUUUCCACAGAUCAGCAUUAUAAAUAAAAGUGCUAGUCUGGAGAGCCGGUGGGAGUUUUGGAGUGGAGACGUUAUGCAGUGAUUCUCCCGUUCCUCUGUGUCAGCCCACAGUCUCCCACUCACUCAGCCCAGGAGACUGGGACAGUGUUUCUGGCUGUUCCUCUUGCUGAAGAUAAAUGACAGAUUUGAUCUCAGGAAGUCCUCUGGAUCACCCUCUCGCAAAGACACCCAACAUCAGGGACAGAGUUUGACUUUGCAGUCCACCUCUUUGUCUUCCACUCAUGACUGGAGAAAAUAAGGCAGUGGGCCUUAUCUGCUGGUGAGAUCAUGCAUCGCUGCUUUAUCCUUCCAUGCAUCGAGCCCAACAUUAUCUGUCGCAUUGGACAUGCCACAGAGUCGCUCCAGUGCUGGAGAGUUCAGCGAAUCAUGCAAAAGCAGCGCACAGAAUCUGGGCGAGCGUGACUCACACAGCCCUGCUGGAGUGUCUGCUGUCAGCAGGUCUGUCUUAGUGGGUGACAGGAGAGAAAUAAUGACAGCCCUGCUCGUAACAUGACAACAGUUUGUGUCAUCGCUGGAAAUCCUGAGCAUGUGGGCAGAAUCUCUCAUCCAGGCAUGAGUUUUCAUCAUCGUGCAUGUUGUUCUUCAUUGUGUACAUAUUUUUGUGCGUUAAGGUCAGAUAUUGCAUCAUUCGGUUUUACAUAAACUCUGGCCAAACAAAAACUGCCAACAAUGUGCCAGGAAGGGCAGAAGGACACAGAGGAGGACAAGUGAAAGAAAGGAAAGGCCACGUUUAAUGAUCCAGAAUCCAAUCUCAGCAACUAAAAUCUCACUCUAAUUAAAUAUUAUGUGAAAAAUGACUUAAAUGUUGGUCUGUUCUACCUACAAAGCUUCCGAAGUCUUGAAAUAUAGCAGCUAUGCCUGAAGGAGUCUUUUUGCUUUGCUUUUUAGUACUUUUAUUGUACUUUUUAGAGUUUGAGAGCUUCAGUCCACCUUUGUUGUAACAGCAUGGAAAAGAGCGAUCAGAAAUUGGCCCAAAUCGAAUACAAGUCCACAAACAUCCAAUCUCAUAUAGAUUUGAUCUGUGCCAGAUGUUUGUGAAAAAAAAAUGUACACAGACCGCAGGAAGCCAACCUGAAAGUCCAGGACCUGCACUUUCAUCUCAGCAUCUGAAAGAGAGAGAGAGACGGGUCUGAAGGACAGGAGGACUGACAUUGGGUAUGUCUUGAAUCAUACAACCUUCAUGUGUUGACCGAAAAACAGUAUGCAGAGUGUAUUCACUGCAGAGGAUGCAGAUUUCCUGUAUGCAGGAAACACACAGGUGAUCUACAACAUUUGUCAAAUUGCGCAAUAUGCAAUGCGCUUGACUUGACCUUCCAUUUCCACUGAAAACUCUAGCGUUCAUUAGUGAUUUACUUAUCGUGUUUGUGCUACAGACAUGAAUGACUCAGAUCGUGUGGUUUGUUCAGAAGAGGUGUGCAUUACUCUUUUUAUAAUGAUUAGAUUUACGCUUUCCAUUUAAUGGACAAUAAAAUCAGCUAAAAAUCCAUCAGUCUAACAUUGAAUGAGGAACCUAAGCCAUAUAUACAUACUUGAGUCAAUGACCUACAGAGCCAGUAAACAACCACACAUCAUAGAAACAUGCUUAAAAACACCAAGAACAUCCUAGUAAAUGCAUAGCAAUGUGCUAAAAACACCUAGAAUGUCCUAGCAACCUUAUAGCAACUUCCUGGCAACCACCAAUUGAACAUUGAGCUUUUCUGCAUUGGAAUGCACAACACACAUUUUCUUCAGUUGAUAGAAUAAAUGAAUGAUUAUUAGUAGUAGUAGUAGUAGUAGUAGGAGGAGGAUUUAUUUUAUUUUAUUUUAUUUUACUUAAGUGGUUUUUGCCACUUUUAUUCUCUUUUAUUUCCUUGGGUAUUGAAUAUUUGGAGGGUCAAAGGCUAUGAGAAAGGAAAAGUUUAAAGUCAUAUCAAGAGCCAUCCACAAAAAUCUAGUUUUAUAAAUAUAUUUAUUUUUACAUGUUUCACAUGCCAUUUUGAAUAUGUAUUGUGCCAUACAUAAAGAUAGGACUUUAGUGAUUCUGCAAAGCUGUGCUACUGUAUGAUUGCAUUACUAACCCUAAUCAUCAUAAUU